UUCAUUUUGGAAAAGCGCAUCCUAAAAAAAAAUUCACCCCUCCUCCCAGCUGCUCCCUCUUGUCUCCCUCACAUCACUCGAUCUUCUGCUUCUCACUGCUUCUUCCCCACCACCAUCCACCCCAAAGCACCCCAUAUUGUGGAUGCCAUUCCAAGCACCCCGCCUCUCCUGCGCGUUUCUCCCCCUGCUUCUCACUGUCAACUCGCCUACUUCCGUAAGCCGCCACCACACAACCGCCGCCUCUCCUCUCCUAGGAAAAGACUCGCGCGCACCACCACUUUCGCCGGCUCGCCUACCGUUGGACAACGCUAGGUGUUAUUCGGAAUUGCUGCAACGGAAACUUUGAAUAGUUGUAUUGCUAAGUUUGUAGAAAAGGCUGUUGAUACUGAGCUGUUGGAGAUUCUUCUCCAUCUUCCUUUGUUGUUUGAAGAUGCCACUAUAUCUCGCCUCAGUUUUCAACCGAGAACAUGAUGGAGAAUGAGUGAACAUUGUUCUCCAUUUUAGGCUCUUGGAAAGCUUUUCGAAGGAUUUACCUCGUAAUGUUCAAGAAAAUGUCUGGGAAGAACUGUUAAUGAGAGUUCACCAAAAGAAUUUGGUUUCUCUUAUUGGAUAUUGCGAUGAAGGAGAGAGCACUGCACUUAUCUACGAAUACAUGCCUAACGGUAACCCGCAAGACCAUUUAUCAGGUUUUCACAACUCCAAGGGAGGGGCCCUUUACCAAAGAGGAGUUGGAUGAAGUUCGAGAUAAGUGGGCUACUUACUUUAACGAUUGUGAACUACCCUCAAUGUAAUAAAUAGAGCAGGCUUGUAGUUAUCCGUAACUCUUGCAUUAUUUUGUUAUUUAUCGAUUUAAUUAAUUACAUUUGAAUUAAUUUGGUAAUAUUAUUGGAAAUUUGAAAUUUAUAUCAUUUUUGAGGAAUGUCAAGAUGAUGUUUGGUGAAA